rnacentral:rRNA from 1 species
AUUGAACGCUGGCGGCAUGCCUUACACAUGCAAGUCGAACGGUAACAGCACUUCGGUGGCUGACGAGUGGCGAACGGGUGAGUAAUACAUCGGAACGUGCCCGAGAGUGGGGGAUAACGCAGCGAAAGCUGUGCUAAUACCGCAUACGGUCUACGGAUGAAAGCAGGGGACCGCAAGGCCUUGCGCUCAUGGAGCGGCCGAUGGCAGAUUAGGUAGUUGGUGGGAUAAAAGCUUACCAAGCCGACGAUCUGUAGCUGGUCUGAGAGGACGACCAGCCACACUGGGACUGAGACACGGCCCAGACUCCUACGGGAGGCAGCAGUGGGGAAUUUUGGACAAUGGGCGAAAGCCUGAUCCAGCCAUGCCGCGUGCAGGAUGAAGGCCUUCGGGUUGUAAACUGCUUUUGUACGGAACGAAAAGGUCUUUUCUAAUAAAGAAGGCUCAUGACGGUACCGUAAGAAUAAGCACCGGCUAACUACGUGCCAGCAGCCGCGGUAAUACGUAGGGUGCAAGCGUUAAUCGGAAUUACUGGGCGUAAAGCGUGCGCAGGCGGUUAUAUGAGACAGAUGUGAAAUCCCCGGGCUCAACCUGGGAACUGCAUUAGUGACUGUAUAGCUAGAGUGCGGCAGAGGGGGAUGGAAUUCCGCGUGUAGCAGUGAAAUGCGUAGAUAUGCGGAGGAACACCGAUGGCGAAGGCAAUCCCCUGGGCCUGCACUGACGCUCAUGCACGAAAGCGUGGGGAGCAAACAGGAUUAGAUACCCUGGUAGUCCACGCCCUAAACGAUGUCAACUGGUUGUUGGGAAUUUACUUUCUCAGUAACGAAGCUAACGCGUGAAGUUGACCGCCUGGGGAGUACGGCCGCAAGGUUAAAACUCAAAGGAAUUGACGGGGACCCGCACAAGCGGUGGAUGAUGUGGUUUAAUUCGAUGCAACGCGAAAAACCUUACCCACCUUUGACAUGUAUGGAAGAUCGCAGAGACGCGAUUGUGCUCGAAAGAGAGCCAUAACACAGGUGCUGCAUGGCUGUCGUCAGCUCGUGUCGUGAGAU